rnacentral:rRNA from 1 species
GAUGAACGCUGGCGGCGUGCCUAAUACAUGCAAGUCGAGCGAAUGGAUUAAGAGCUUGCUCUUAUGAAGUUAGCGGCGGACGGGUGAGUAACACGUGGGUAACCUGCCCAUAAGACUGGGAUAACUCCGGGAAACCGGGGCUAAUACCGGAUAAUAUUUUGAACUGCAUGGUUCAAAAUUGAAAGGCGGCUUCGGCUGUCACUUAUGGAUGGACCCGCGUCGCAUUAGCUAGUUGGUGAGGUAACGGCUCACCAAGGCAACGAUGCGUAGCCGACCUGAGAGGGUGAACGGCCACACUGGGACUGGGACACGGCCCAGACUCCUACGGGAGGCAGCAGUAGGGAAUCUUCCGCAAUGGACGAAAGUCUGACGGAGCAACGCCGCGUGAGUGAUGAAGGCUUUCGGGUCGUAAAACUCUGUUGUUAGGGAAGAACAAGUGCUAGUUGAAUAAGCUGGCGCCUUGACGGUACCUAACCAGAAAGCCACGGCUAACUACGUGCCAGCUGCCGCGGUAA